rnacentral:lncRNA from 1 species
AGCCGGGGGCGCUGAGGCAGGAGGGAUUUUAAAACAAAAAACAAGAAGGAAACGCUACUGCGUUGUAAAGUGGGAGAGGGCAGAAGGCCGUAGAAACCAAGACUGCAAAAAUCAAAACUCUAACAACACCAUCACAAGCCGUGCCCACCCUGAAUGGAGUUCUGUCUGACCCAGGAAGGUUCCAGCCAUGUCAAGCAAGGAACAGAAGGCCAUGAAGUAAAGUGCCAAGUGCCCGAGGGUAGAUAAGACCCUCCAUCAGAAGACUCCAAGAACCGAGAUGCAGUCAACCCUGCGGACAAUCCAGUAGUUGGUACCAGUGAGAUGGGCAGUCAUUGCUCAGAUUCAGAUGUGCAAGAGGCCCCGAGCCUGUUCAGAAGAGGAUGCAGGAUUUCUAAGGUGAUGCUACUUAGUUUCUUAUGGAAAAGAGGAAGCAGUUUGAAAAGGAUGUAAAUGCCUCUUUCAGAAACCUGAAUGAAAGCCUCCAGGGUAUUCUGAAAGCUCAGCAGAAGUCAAGGCAGGAGCUUGAGUCUGUGUACUGUGAAAGGUAUGGGUCCCUAUACCAGAAGUGUCUAGAUGAGGUGGGCAGCACAAGGGGCCAAGAAGAACACCUCGGUUUUAUAACAGCAGCAAAUGAAGAUUUUACAGACAGGUAUAGCAGAUCAUGAAACCAAGCUUGAAAAUACUGAAGAUAUGUCUGACACAUUUUUGAAGAAAGCCAACGACUUGAGUAAACAUCGCAGACCCCUUUUUGGCAGUCAGCAAACAAAUGUAGAGAAGGAAAUCUCGAAGGUACAGGGCAGAGUUACCAUGGAAACUCAAGAACAAGAUGUAUCUGUUGUUGAAAGGUACCUUCAGUCCCUGAUCCUUGACCACUCUGAAGCUCACACAUAGGGUGCACAGGGAAGAGAGCAUCAGCCAUGCUAGAAGACAUUAGUAGUCGCCAGUGCGGCUCCUUUCUCUUUACUCUGUUUGUUACAGUUGAGACUGAGACUCUGUUAACCAUUAAGUGAAGCCCCAGCAGUCCUGUGAGAAGCAACAGCUAAGUGUGGAACAUCCAGGACCAUGACAGCAAGAGAGAUACAUUCUGCAGUGUGGCAAUUACAUUUUGGAAACAA